UACGUAGGGGGCAAGCGUUGUCCGGAAUCAUUGGGCGUAAAGAGCGUGUAGGCGGCUCGGUAAGUCCGCUGUGAAAGUCCAGGGCUCAACCCUGGAAUGCCGGUGGAAACUGUCGAGCUAGAGUCCGGAAGAGGCGAGUGGAAUCCUGGUGUAGCGGUGAAAUGCGCAGAUAUCAGGAGGAACACCAAUGGCGAAGGCAGAUCUCUGGGCCGUAACUGACGCUGAGGAGCGAAAGCAUGGGGAGCGAACAGG
rnacentral:rRNA from 1 species